AAAGGAAUUGACGGGGGCCCGCACAAGCGGUGGAGCAUGUGGUUUAAUUGGAAGCAACGCGAAGAACCUUACCAGGUCUUGACAUCUUCUGACAACCCUAGAGAUAGGGCUUCCCCUUCGGGGGCAGAGUGACAGGUGGUGCAUGGUUGUCGUCAGCUCGUGUCGUGAGAUGUUGGGUUAAGUCCCGCAACGAGCGCAACCCUUGAUCUUAGUUGCCAGCAUCCAGUUGGGCACUCUAAGGUGACUGCCGGUGACAAACCGGAGGAAGGUGGGGAUGACGUCAAAUCAUCAUGCCCCUUAUGACCUGGGCUACACACGUGUUCCAAUGGGCAGAACAAAGGGCAGCGAAGCCGCGAGGUUAAGCCAAUCCCACAAAUCUGUUUUCAGUUCGGAUCGCAGUCUGCAACUGGACUGCGUGAAGCUGGAAUCGUUAGUAAUCGCGGAUCACCAUGCCGCGGUGAAUACGUUCCCGGGCCUUGUACACACCGCCCGUCACACCACGAGAGUUUGUAACACCCGAAGUCGGUGAGGUACACCUUUUGGAGCCAGCCGCCGAAGGUGGGACAGAUGAUUGGGGUGAAGUCGUAACA
rnacentral:rRNA from 1 species